GACGAACGCUGGCGGCGUGCUUAACACAUGCAAGUCGAACGGAAAGGCCCUGCUUUUGUGGGGUUCUCGAGUGGCGAACGGGUGUGUAACACGUGAGUAACCUGCCCUUGACUUUGGGAUAACUUCAGGAAACUGGGGCUAAUACCGGAUAGGAGCUCCUGCUCCAUGGUGUGGGUUGGAAAGUUUCGGCGGGUGGGGAUGGACUCGCGGCUUAUCAGCUUGUUGGUGGGGUAGUGGCUUACCAAGGCUUUGACGGGUAGCCGGCCUGAGAGGGUGACCGGCCACAUUGGGACUGAGAUACGGCCCAGACUCCUACGGGAGGCAGCAGUGGGGAAUAUUGCACAAUGGGCGGAAGCCUGAUGCAGCAACGCCGCGUGCGGGAUGACGGCCUUCGGGUUGUAAACCGCUUUCGCCUGUGACGAAGCGUGAGUGACGGUAAUGGGUAAAGAAGCACCGGCUAACUACGUG
rnacentral:rRNA from 1 species